AUGAAGGCAGGCUCGCUGGUUUGCUGAGAUCUGUCACAGGCUGACUGGCUGGCUACAUAUCUGUCUCUGGAACAAUAGGUACCUGUAUUCUGCACGGGCUGCUGGGCAGCGCUAGCACUCUGGAGAAGGUCUGCCUCUGUCUGCGCCUUCCUGGUUCAAUGCAGGCAGAUGAGUGUCCCAGCUGUAACUGAGGCACCGAGUAAUCAACAUAUCGGAGGAGCCAGUUCCCGUGAUGGCAAGAGGGGGAACCGGAGGAGGUGACCACAAUGACAAGAACAUUCUUCUAACAAGUUUUAGCACUGACUAUCCUCCGGAAAAUGGGAUCCAGGAGAAGCGACGCCCUCCUCGAACUGAAAGACGCUGCUUCUUCUGGCUUGUGAGAUUUUUCUGGCAUCCUUCGGUCAUUCUGACAUAUUCCAGGAUCUGCCUAUGUUCCUGCAAAAGGAAGCCGAAUCAAGUUACAUGGGGCUAUGUGUGACAAUACAGAUUUGAAAGCCAUGUUGUUCCUGUGUCCACAUCUGCAUUUUCUGAAAUGUGUGCUGCUUUCUCACCCAAGCACAGCUUUUGAUCAUCAUCGCAGCUGGCGGCUCAUGCACAUUAACUGUCUUCUCCAAUGUGCCUACACUGGGUUAAGCAUUUAGCGUAGAUUAAUUUGUAGUAGAUUUAUUUGUAUUUGUACUUUGUAGGCAAGGAAGUCAAUUCAUGAAGAGAUGCAAUAAUACAUAUCCAGCUUGCAAAGACAGAGCCAAGAUACAACCUUAGGGGGCCUGAUUCCAUAGGAGACAAUUAGGUCAAUGGUCUUCUCAAAGGUUCUAGUUAGUCAUUUUUACAUGAAUGAGAAAUAGACAGAUAAGCCUGGUGGUCAGGGCAGAUCAGAGUCAAAUUUAGUUUCAAGCCAAUUGAUUUCAUUCAGAUAGAAAGAAGAGAGCCAGUGUAAAGGGAUUACCUUUUUUUGUGUAAGUCUCUGAGAAUCGAGAGCUUGCAGUUCAGGAACCCAUGGCUCAGACAGGCACAUUCCUGUGCGGUGUAAGCAAAGACACUGCAGGAGCCGAGCCACCCAUUAAAACCCCAGCUCCACCCACUGGAAGCUAUGUGAUUCCAGGCCAAUGACGUGCUGUCUGGGUGAUUCUGUCUGGUCUGCAUGGUGAGUGUCAUUGUGCUGUGGUGGGAUGAAGGAGGUCAGGUAUGCAGAUCAGGAAUAGCUCCUGCUAUAGAGUCAAGUACCCUGGACAGGUGUUGGCUUUCCUAUCAUCCUCACGAUCUGCUCCGAAGAGGUGGUGGCCAUACUGGCAGGGACAGAGGGUUAUUUAUGCAUUUUAUGCAAAAAGCUUUCGGAACUUUAUAUAGGAGACGACGUUAAAAAGCGACUCCUGUUAGAUGCACUUCAGUGACGACAACAACUUUUAGGUAGUUUAUCACAGGGGAUCUCAACCUUUGGGUCGAGACCCCUCCACAGGAGCUGAAGAUAUCCUGCAUAUCAGAUAUUGACAUUAUAAUUCAUAAUGGUAAUAAAAUUACAGUUAUAAAGUAUCAACAAAAAUAACUUUAUGGUUGCGAGGGGGGUCACCACAACAUGAGGAACUAUAUUAAAGGGUCACAGUGUUAGGAAGGUUGAGAACCACUGGGCUAGAACUCUCUGGCUUUAUCUCAUUGGAGAGGUAAGCGAAGAGCUGGUCAACCAAUAGGUUGCGUGUCACUGUGUGAAAUUACAAUUUUUCACCUAGUUGAAGGGGAUUUAACAUAACACAUAAAUGGCAUAAUUUUCAAUGAAAUCAGAGGCUGAAAAUUUAUUUUGAAAGUCUGAAUCUUGAUCUGGGCAGAUGAUUCAGUCAACAAAGUGCUUGCGACGUGAGCAUGAAUACCCAAGUUCAGAGGCCCAGAGCACACAGAAAAAGCUAGUGUGUGUGGACUAUGGGCCCGUAAUCUGAACACGGGCCUGUAAUCCUGGUGAUGGAGAGGCAGAGAUAGGGGCAUCUCUGAGGCUUGCUGACCAGCUAGUCCAGUCAAAUUAGUAAGCUCCAGGUUCAUUGAGAGACCCUUUCUCAAAAGCUAAGGUGAAUAGAUAUCAAGAAAAGCAUCUAACGUUAACCUCUAACCUCUAUAUAUUCUGGUGAGCAUGUGCAUGCUACACACACACACACACACACACACACACACACAAUUCUGAAUCUUGACAUGUCAGAAAGGGAAAUAUUCCUAUCUGCAAAGGUCAAAUGAUUCGGAAGCCCAGAUAUAGCAUUUCAUUUUGACAGUUUGUCUUGGGAAGAUACUGUGGGAUAUCUGAUAACUUACAGGUCUGAUCGAUUCCCACACAUACAAGUCUUCACUGCUGUUUCUGCCAAAGAAUCAGACUGGAUUCCACGAAGUCCUUAGAGGGCUCUUGUGGGGUAAGGCAGUUUUAAGACAGUUUGGGCCAACUCUGCCAGCUCACCAAUGGGAAAAGUUGGCAAAAUUCCAAAGAUGGUUUGGGUUAUAUCUGUUAUGUCACAGGGUGGAGUGUGUUUGAGUGGGUUAAGGGGAAGCCUAUAAUUUUAUAGCUAUUAGUAGUACAUUUCUGCUAAACCUCUUUUUAUUCUAAAAAUUGGUUGAAAGAAUCUCAGCACUCAGGACAAUUCUAGGUUGCUCCGUCACCAGAAUAGAAUCCACCCAGACUUGGUACUAAUUCUAUACAGCACAAUUCAUCAGAGUGUAAAUAUUGACCCCCAAAUAUUAAGUACCUUUGUCCCAUUUUUUUUCUUUUUUUAAUUGUCUUUUGUGAAGAUUUUCCUGUGUAAAUAAAAAGAUAGCGUUUUGAACUUAAUCCUAACUACUUAGAAAAGAUGGAGCCACUGAUGUCUUGCUUAGAAAGAAGGAGCACGGUCAAGCUCACUACAGAGCCAUGAAUUGCUUCCGUACCAAUAACCAUCCUUUGUGCCAGAUGUACACACACAUGUGCUUCUAGCUUCUUGAAUAGAAUUCUAGAUGAUUGCCCUGUAAAUAAAUUAGAACAACAAUCACGUCAUGCUUUUUGUUGUCUAGGGUCAUCCUCAUGUGAUGCUUAGUGAUCUUGUUACACUUGGGUAAUCAGGUGAAGGAGAGCCUCGCGAUCGUCCAUGGGUCAGCUAUGUGGACUCUAGCUGCCAAAGGCGCUUCUCCUUCUGAACAGAGCGCUUUGCUCAGCCAGUGUAGACAUGGCCUGAUAAACAAUGGAACUUCUCCCUUGAGAACUGGAGUAUGGAUUGAUCUAAUCCUUUAACAGAAAAGUGUGCACAGGUUUGAUGAACGGUUGAGAUGACGACAUUUCUAGUCAAAUGGAUCCUAAAUUGGCAAUAAUGUGAUGAGUAGCGUAAUUUAUAAUGAACUUCAAAAGGGGUAGGGGCUGAGUGUUGCAAAAGCUAAUCAAGGGGUUAUGAAAUUAAAGGUUUCUUGUGAGCUUAACUAUGUGCGGCAGGGAGGUUCUUGCAGGCUUGUAUCUGUCAGGUCUUAGCACUAAACCUGUCAGAGUGCUGCCUGGUCACAUCGUUUUUAACCAAGAUGUCACCUACCUCAUGAGAAGCAACCUGCCUUGUGCUCCACAUCCCCCCCCACACACACACUCAUUUUAUUGGAGAUAGCAAAUGCAGAGGGCAUGCCUCUGUUAACACUAUGCUUCUGUUUUGCAGAUUUGCAGGCUCGUGGAGUCAGCGAAGAGGAGGUUUAUGAACAGCAGCCAUUGCACUCUGCACAGGAUGGCUGCAGGGAAUGCUUUUCAGUCUUGCCAGGGUCACUGAGAUACCUCUGAGAUUUAAAUCAGGUGUGUGAAGGAUGCUGGAAACAUGCAUUAGUGUCUGUGGUUUUCUUGUCUUGCACUUAGGCCCACCAAGGGAAGUGGGGAAGGUGGUGGCUUCAGCCUUAAAACAUGCCCCCUAACACAAACCCAGGAUUUGACAUACUCCAAACCUGGCUUUCCCAGACCCUCUCUCUCUAUCUCACCAAGUUUCCAAGUUGUAAAUUUUAAAAGCAUGAUGAUAGUUUUUCAUAUAUUAAAACCAACUUGAUUUGGGAGCUAUGUUAAAAAAAUUGAAACUUGAACUUUGAUUCUUUUUUAUCAUUUGUCUAUUUCUUCAUGGGAGUGGGGAAUAAGUGUUAUUGGUGAUAUGAACUAACUGUGAGAAACUUAUGAAAAAUAUUUCCUUCAAAGUCUCUUCAAAAUAGAUGCUCACAUUAUCUUUAAAUGGUGGUUAAGUGGUUCCGAAAAAAGCAAGCAACAUUAACAGCUUCAGAAAACAUAAACCAUGUCUCUUUAGAAGAUCAAGUUGUGCUUAAUAGCCUAGACACUUAAUUCGUUCAGGAACUACACUGUCUCCAUGGCUGUAUUUUGUUAGAAAGGAAAGAGAGGCUGUUUCUACAGGUGUCACAGAAAAAUCGAUGCCGAGCCACGGAUUAUUGGAUCCCACAGAACCGUGGAGACUUGGCAGUGAAAUUCUUCCAAAGGUGAGUAGGGGCCAUUGAUUUUCUUUCUCAGGCCUGAGGAAAUAGGGCCCAAGGAACAGAGACCAAAUUUAGAUUGGAAACAAGUGUGACAUGACCCUUUACUUCCAGAAAAAUGCAGGAACUUCGCCAAACAAAUAAGUGUGGAAAUUCAAUGAGAGCAUAAGCAUAGAAGUUGCUGUCAUUCAGUUUUCAUAGAUUUGCUUUAAAAUAAGAAUAUAUAUAUAUAUAUAUAUGUACACACACACACACACACACACACACACACACACACACACAUAUUCUUGGUACAUUUUGUUUAAGAGCAUAAUUGUUUGACCUUUUACCUGUAGUUCUGAUUCCUUAGUUGUUUUACUACAUUGCUUAGCAUUCCAUCUGCGCAGGCAGAGGUGUUCCUGGUUUGGGAAGUAUAAAUCCUGUGGGAAGUCAACUGGAGAACAUUUUACGCAUCGCUCAUUCUGUUAUGAGCCUGCAGCUCUUCCCUCUCUCCACAAGUUAAAGGACAGAAGCAACAAUAAGGCUGCCUGGCUACGUUUUCACCCUGCCACCAACUUCGAGUUAAGCUGACAAACAUUUUGAGAGCUCGGCCCAUUUCAUUCACAGCAGGAUGGCAGGAGUUAACACAGGGAAUCAACUAAAAAUUGUGUUUUUAUUGCACAUUUGCAUUGGAUCUCAUCACUGAAAAUGACUAAAUUCUGCUCUGCAAGUGGGUGACUGAUUGUCCCUGCCAGCUGGCUAAUAUCAUAAUUAACAAAGUUGCUACGACAUCUGCAAAGUUUAAUCGAAAAAUUUACCAGUGGUAUGAUGGCAUUGUCACCAAGAUCACAAGGGACUCAGAGUCGACUUCUGCUCCGGGUGGAACGGCAAGGCUAUGUGGCUGAGAUGAAAAAAUUGUGAACUUGUUCAACCAAAGGUUAUGCUUCACAUCACCCACCAGGGAGGAUCAUCUCUCAUGAAAACUUUCAAAUUUGAUUUUGGAAAUUUAUUCAGAAAAAUUUAAGCCAUGCUUUUUCCCAACAUAAGAAAUAAUAUGCUCCAGAGAACCCUUUAAUUCACAGAAAAUGGACUGGGAUAACAUUUGGGUUCUCAUACUACCACAGUCCUCCUGAGAAGGACAGCCAGAACAACACAGGUAUCAGAAGACAGUGACCGGACAUCAUCCUCACAAGGUCACAUCCACCUUGCCCAUCUCUGUUUGUGAUAAUAUCCACCCAGGGUAAAUGGGACAGGAGUGUGGGAAACAACCUGAAGCAAGAGUGUACUCAGAGGAGGCUAAUAAUGAAGGGGCCGGGGAAGGAGGCCAAUGCUACAAGGGUUAUCUCACAACCUCAGAUGUUGGAUAAGUCGAAGGAGGCAGAAUCGCUUCUGGAUGACAUUCAGAAAAGCUGGAGUGAUUAUUUGGAAGAGAAAACCCUGCCUAUUCUUUCAAAGGUACAUGAAUAUUGUUGAGACCCGCUCUUCUAAAGGUCCGUCCUUAGAAUCCUACCUUAGACAAAGGAUGCACUCGGAGCCCCGCCACACCUAAAACCACGUUUUGAAGGAUCUGCCAAGCUCACUUUUAAUCAUGAGAAAGAAAUUACCCACAUGGAGACAGCAGAAAAUGAGAAAGUAGAGCUCGUGCUGCGAAUAAUUCCAGCGAGUGCCAAGGGGCUAGUUGAGGAAUGGCUUCAUGAGAUGUUAGUCUAUCUAGAACAAGACCUGAGAAUCUAAGCUGGACCUCUGAGAAAGAAACGACUCCAAAGAAAGACUCCUUUCCAUAUGGUUUUAAUGACUUUUUUUUUUUUUUACCUGAAUGGUUUACAAUGCACUAUCAAACUAUAUUAAUCUUUUCUGCUCUCUGUAUUUACUUUUGCUUGAACUGCUUUAAUAUUGACUCUUGAACCGCAUAUUCAUUUUGGACUUUUAAAAGAGAAUUCAAAUAAAACCUUAUUUGUGUUAUUA